GGGCGGUUAGCUCAGCGGUAGAGCGCCUGCCUUACAAGCAGGAUGUCACUGGUUCGAUCCCAGUACCGCCCA
rfam:Leptolyngbya valderiana BDT 20041 contig00110, whole genome shotgun sequence.